CCUGCACUCAUCCAUCCAUGCUUUCUAUCCUUCAUUCCACCGGAGUCUGUAUGUCUUUGACCAGUCAGAUUUCAGUGGUGUGAAGAAUAUGAGGCAUGGGCCAAU
rnacentral:pre_miRNA from 13 species